GAGCGCGCGGCUGGGGAAGAAGCUGGCGGGAAGCCGGGCCGCGCGCCGAGGAAUCGAUGAUUCGGCCUGUGGGCCGGGUCACUGCGGCGGGGCCCGGGGAGCGCCGAUAGCAUGGAUAGGCUCAGAGGGGCGCAGGGUUUUGGCGGCUUCCCGAGUUCCCCUCGCCGACCGCCAUGUCACAUCUUACGGAAGAGGCGGGGGCUGCCGCGGAGAGGAUAUUUUUUGUUUUGUUUUGUUUUCACAAGCACACAUCCUCAGAUUUUUGGAACAUACUUACAUCUCGAAGAUAGCGCUCCAUCCAUUUAAUGAUAUCAAUACCCCGGAUUCUAUCCUCAAAUAUGUCAAUCUACAAGAAAAGGAUGCGCAAAAGAGCUCUUAAUGAGAGCUUUCUCCGAGUGCAGACCUCAAGAAAACACAAGAUCCUACAUACAUGUGCAACCCUAAAAGUAGUGCUCUCAAUAAGGAGGAACACGUGAGACCAAACAGAGAAGCAAAGAGUGUGGAAUGCAUCAGUUAAAAUCUCAAGAAACCCCGAGGCAGAGGAUUAAGAGAUACUGAAGAGAAGAUGAGUCUGUGUGCAUUUAUCUGUGCUUAGCCUGCUCCGAAUGGGAACUCAGCUCUCAAAUGAAGACAAGACUGCUCACUCCUGCAGAAAAUGACCUUGUUCUUGAGAGCUGCUGCUAAUUUACAGUGAGGCACUAGGUUUCUACCCAGUGCCACGUGAGCAACCAAUCCAUCUACCCAGGGGCACGGCACUGACGAGCAGCAUCAUUUAGAAGGAAAGAAGUAUGGGUGGUGUUUGUUGUUUCCUGUGUGUUAAGGAAAAUCCAGUGAUGCACCAAGACUCAACACCUAGACCCACGAGAGUAGAUGCUCAGGAAAGAUUUGCUGACUGAACACAUGAUUGUGUCUACGCCUAGCAGUACUUUGUUGCGGGAUGGGCCCUGGCAGGGUUGGUAAAGCCCUCAUUUGUAGACAUGGAACCUCCCAGCUCCAGCCCUGCUAAGAACUGACAGAACUUGGCUAGCUCCAUGUUUUGUUCACGUGACUCUCAACCUGGUGUGGCCUGGACUCUAGUCCCUGCCUCAAGGAAAGUCCAGACUGACAUAGAAAAUCCCUGCUCACCAGCCUUGACCUUGGGAGAAAGCCCCUGACCUGUGAGUGGACAGAAGGCCUGGUGGUCAGCCCGUGGGAGCCCUGGAGCGUGCACUGCUGGAGCAGCUCAGAAAAAGCUGAGAAGCCAAGACUUGACUGUCAGUCCUGGAGAAUUAGAACAUGCCUGCUAAAUUUCAGUCCACUCUGAGGAAGGGGCAGUGCCCACAAGGAAACCUAGUGGGUGGGGUUCUGGCUGGGACUCAUCUGGAGUUCCCAGGGCAGAUGCCCGGCCCCAGCUUAUAGACCAUGAUGCGGCUGGGCUUCCGUGUCUGAUUCUUAAGUGCCUCAGGUAAACAGACUCUCCUUUGCUUUGCCAGGAGGAAUGACAUUACUAUCAGCAUUGUAAAAGUCUGUGGCCUUUGGGAGAGUAAUUUUACUUCUAAGACUCUCCUCUACAGAGAAGUGUGCACACUGUUCCCAGUGGAGUCUAUAAAGAUAGCAAAGAGCAAAGACUUAAAACAGAA
rnacentral:lncRNA from 1 species